rnacentral:tRNA from 1 species
GGACCCUUAGCUCAGUUGGUAGAGCGUCUGACUCUUAAUCAGAAUGUCGUUGGUUCGAACCCAACAGGGUCCA